CACUACAGUGCUCCAAAGAAACUGUAUAAUGUAUAUUGUGGUUGUACCUCUGUUGGCUUUGCUGGUCCUGAUUCCAGUUGUGUUCUGCUUCUCCAGACAAGUGUGCAAAGAUGCGCAAUGUAGAAAAGAGGAAAGAUCAGAAGAGCAAAAGGGACCUGAGCAACAACUGGUAUAUUCUACAAUCGUCUUGCAUUCUAAAGGAAGAAGAAAGAAGUCGGCAUCCUAAUUUCAGCAAAAGAUUCUAGAAGAGAACUGAGAGAUCGUGGAAAUGGUUUGCAAGAUGUGAUACUUAAGUUCCUGGUUCCUGAUGGCCGUGUGUUUCAUUAGAAACAAAGUUAUGGUUUUAUAUGUUUGCAUUCUUUCCUUUUAUUAAUCCUAGCUCUUUAUGAUUUGAAUUAUAUUUAGUAUCGCAUUGUUUUGUCCAAGUAUUCAUGCAUGCUUAAUGUACACAUCUGAGUAAAUCUGGGUAUUGUUUUGUUUUUCUUUUUUAAUACCCAUCAGUGUGUGUGACAUUUUUAACCACAGUCAUC